rnacentral:rRNA from 1 species
GACGAACGCUGGCGGCGUGCCUAAUACAUGCAAGUCGAGCGGACCAAAGGGAGCUUGCUCCUGGAGGUUAGCGGCGAGCGGGUGAGUAACACGUGGGCAACCUGCCUGUAAGACUGGGAUAACAUCGAGAAAUCGGUGCUAAUACCGGAUAAUAAAAAGAACUGCAUGGUUCUUUUUUGAAAGAUGGUUUCGGCUAUCACUUACAGAUGGGCCCGCGGCGCAUUAGCUAGUUGGUGGGGUAACGGCUCACCAAGGCGACGAUGCGUAGCCGACCUGAGAGGGUGAUCGGCCACACUGGGACUGAGACACGGCCCAGACUCCUACGGGAGGCAGCAGUAGGGAAUCUUCCGCAAUGGACGAAAGCCUGACGCAGCGACGCCGCGUGGGCGAAGAAGGCCUC